rnacentral:rRNA from 1 species
GAUGAACGCUGGCGGCGUGCUUAACACAUGCAAGUCGAACGAAGCACUUUGAUCGAUUUCUUCGGAUUGAAAUUUUAGUGACUGAGUGGCGGACGGGUGAGUAACGCGUGGGUAACCUGCCUCACACAGGGGGAUAACAGUUGGAAACGGCUGCUAAUACCGCAUAAGCGCACAGUACCGCAUGGUACAGUGUGAAAAACUCCGGUGGUGUGAGAUGGACCCGCGUCUGAUUAGCUAGUUGGCAGGGCAACGGCCUACCAAGGCGACGAUCAGUAGCCGACCUGAGAGGGUGACCGGCCACAUUGGGACUGAGACACGGCCCAAACUCCUACGGGAGGCAGCAGUGGGGAAUAUUGCACAAUGGGGGAAACCCUGAUGCAGCGACGCCGCGUGAGCGAAGAAGUAUUUCGGUAUGUAAAGCUCUAUCAGCAGGGAAGAAGAAAUGACG